rnacentral:rRNA from 1 species
GGAAGGGCACCACCAGGAGUGGAGCCUGCGGCUUAAUUUGACUCAACGCGGGGAAACUCACCCGGCCCGGACACCGUUAGGAUUGACAGAUUGAUAGCUCUUUCUUGAUUCGGUGGGUGGUGGUGCAUGGCCGUUCUUAGUUGGUGGAGCGAUUUGUCUGGUUAAUUCCGAUAACGAACGAGACUCUAGCCUACUAAACUAGGCAAUGAAUUUGGUUGUUCAUUGAACUUCUUAGAGGGACAAAGGGUAUAUAGCCCUACGAGAUUGAGCAAUAACAGGUCUGUGAUGCCCUUAGAUGUCCGGGGCUGCACGCGCGCUACACUGAAGGAAUCAACGUGCUUGAUAACCUUGUCCGGAAGGACUGGGUAACCCGUUGAAACUCCUUCGUGCUUGGGAUAGGGACUUGUAAUUAUUUCCCUUGAACGAGGAAUUCCUAGUAAGUGCGGGUCAUCAUCUCGCGUUGAUUACGUCCCUGCCCUUUGUACACACCGCCCGUCGCUACUACCGAUUGGAUGAUUUAGUGAGGCCUUCGGACUGGUAACG